UGGGGAAUUUUGGACAAUGGGCGAAAGCCUGAUCCAGCAAUGCCGCGUGUGUGAAGAAGGCCUUCGGGUUGUAAAGCACUUUUGUCCGGAAAGAAAUCCUUGGCUCUAAUACAGUCGGGGGAUGACGGUACCGGAAGAAUAAGCACCGGCUAACUACGUGCCAGCAGCCGCGGUAAUACGUAGGGUGCAAGCGUUAAUCGGAAUUACUGGGCGUAAAGCGUGCGCAGGCGGUUUGCUAAGACCGAUGUGAAAUCCCCGGGCUCAACCUGGGAACUGCAUUGGUGACUGGCAGGCUAGAGUAUGGCAGAGGGGGGUAGAAUUCCACGUGUAGCAGUGAAAUGCGUAGAGAUGUGGAGGAAUACCGAUGGCGAAGGCAGCCCCCUGGGCCAAUACUGACGCUCAUGCACGAAAGCGUGGGGAGCAAACAGGAUUAGAUACCCUGGUAGUCCACGCCCUAAACGAUGUCAACUAGUUGUUGGGGAUUCAUUUCCUUAGUAACGUAGCUAACGCGUGAAGUUGACCGCCUGGGGAGUACGGUCGCAAGAUUAAAACUUAAAUAAAUUGACGGGG
rnacentral:rRNA from 1 species